rnacentral:lncRNA from 1 species
UGUCCUUAUAAAAUAAACACACAGACACACACACAAACAUUCUAGGCUCCAAGAAACGAGAAAUUGUUGAAACUCUAUUCUUCAUGCAAUGCUCUCCCCACCUCCACACAAGAGGCUUCUUUCUUUGUCCUCAUCACAGUUAGAGAUGCAGACACUUUAAAUUAUUGCUCUGUGAUGUGUUUAAUUACUUUGCCCUCAAAUUCCUUCUCUGUAUUAAACAAAAAACACUAAUGCCAAAUUACUUUAUGUAAAGUACCUAAUUACUUUGUGUUAAGUACCAAAAGCUAGGCUGGCAUCUAGUAUGCACUUAAUACAAAUUAGCUCUACCUUUUCCUAGAGGAAUUAUGCUCAUUUCCUCACUUAAUGCUCAAAUAUUUCUAUUAAGUAAUAAUAACUUGGAGAGUAUAAGAUAUCAUAUUCUAUACCUUCUCCUUUCCAUUUCCAGGUAUGAGAUCUAUUUUUAUAAUAUCAGUGACGAAUCUGAUUUAUAAAUGAAAUCGAUGUAGGCUAAUGGGAUCUUUAUCAUUCACUAGAGCCCAAGGCUGGGUACUCACACAGGCCCCCCAGGGUGGCCUUCUACCUCCAACGACUGGACAAUCAAUCAAAGGGCUCUCGAUGGGCAGAAAGAUAACUCUGCUCCUGCUCUAGGAGAGUUCUCAUCUUUACUCCCUGCUGGACUGGGAUCCCCAAAGAAUACGGAGUAGCCCUGAAAGAGAAAUGAAGAGUCCGGCUGGUAAGCUUGCGCUUAGAACAAACCGCUAUUCAGUUACUUCCUUCCAUCUGUCCACGCCUCAUGCCAUUCAUUCAACAAAAAGACUUUGAGACUCUACACACACCAGGUGAAGUUUAAAAAGGAAAGUUUUCUCCUCGACUCCUCUCCUCUCCUCACUCCCCAGGUGCGGUCUAUAUGCCUGUGUAUGUGAAUGUGUGUACAUACAUGUGCAAAAAAGAUGGAUCCAGACACUUUACACGCUCAAGAGUAUAUCACAAGUGUCCUUUUGUAUUAGUAUAUGUUUUGCUUAAUUUCACUGGAUAGCAUUUGAGCUAGAUUUUAUUUCUCAUCUCCAUCCCCCAAACCUCUCCUCCCACUCAAGCUGACACUUUGUCUGUAAUAGUUUUUCUCUCUAUUAGCCUUCUAUUUCCCCUUUGGCCAAAGAAUCAAGUCAUCAUUACCUUAGGGGUAAUUUUGCCAGAGAGAGAAUAUCAAACAGUCAUCUUUGCUAUAUCUUAAGAAUUCUCUUUCUUAAAACUGUGUCUGAAGUUCAACUUCUGUUCUUAGAUUUUUUGCUUCAAUUGUACUCUUGGGGCAAGAAAUCAUAAUGUCAUCCUUCACAAGCAUCUCAGGAUGACUUCCAGGCAGCGGAAUUUGUCAGAAGGGCACAUCUGAAUCCCCCCCUGACUCUCCACUUCUGCUAUGGCCAUAUUUCCACCUUUCCUGUUCGAAGGAUGUGAGUGACACAGAUGUCACUGAGCUGGUCAGUUCAGCUAAGCCUUGAAAUUGGUGCCUGUCCUCACUGCCGCACAGCUGCACCCCGACAACACGGCCUGUUGGUUAGGUUAGGUUCUAGCCCUAACCUCGGCUCCUCAGCUGCAGCUCCACUUCCUUAUUAACGAGGAAAACAAAACGAGAAAUUAGGAAAAGUACUCCCUUUAUUUUUUUUUCUGGGCCUUUGGAGCUGUGCUGAACCAUUCAGGGAAAAAAAAGCCAUGAAAGGGUACUGCUUUCAACUCUGAAAAUAUUCACCUUUUCACACAAGGACUCUGCCCUUGAACUUCAAAACUGUGUCCUGCCUAAAAGACCAAAGGGUUUCCAAGGUAGACUUGGCCUCAUGGUUUCUGAGCACUUUUCCUGUUGAUUUACUAUUCUUAUCUUUACUUUUUUUUUUUUCUUCCUGUGUGAUCUAGAGAAUGGAUUGAACUGAAAUAUAAGGAGCCCUUAUAACAGAUAUUCAGAGGCAUUGAAGAGGGAAACCCUCUGACACAGAUCUGACAUUCUCUCCAUUUAUACGAUAGAGAAAACAAAGUACAUAAAGGCAAGAAGCCUCUGUCAAGCUUGGCUUCCAGCCUGCCCGCCAGUGGGAUAAAACUUAGGCUUUCGGGUUAGUUACAGACGUGGGAGUCUUUUUUUUUUUUUUUGGUUAUUAGCGUUCAAGGAAAUUGUGAGGUUAUUGGAGACAGGAUCAGGCCAUGUAACAUGUGUAGUUCUGUUAAUAAUUGAUAUCCUGAACAUUAAAUAAAGAUUAUUUCUAAAACUAAUACAGCAGAAAUACUACAAUUAUUAGCUUUAAAAAGUCUAACAAAAAAGCAGCAUGAUGGAUGUUAUCAAGCACCAGAAAUAUAUUACUUAAUAUAGUUGAAACGUGAAAACUAUAGAUUCACUAUUGGCAUAAUAUAAUAUUCUCAGAGUGAUGUCUCAUAAUUAAUCAUUCAUUUAAGUCAAGACAUCCUAAUACUGCCUAACUGUAUAAACAUCAACCCAGAGGAUCUAGAAUAAUGCAGAGCUUAUCCAGCCUUAAAAUAUCUAUUCUACCAUGCCAGCUCACAGCUGAGAAGUCUAACACCCCAAAACACUGAAGGUUUGCUAAAUACCUUGGGAAAAUGUAAGAAUUUAUCUGGCAGCAUUGUUCUGACACAUCCCAUCUAAAUAAUCCUGUAAUUCUGUAUAUCCACAUAAAAGUAUAAAUAUACUAAAAUCCUCUAGAAAUGUAACACUGGACUUAAAAAUAAUUACGCUGAUUGGCUGAUCAGCACUGGCACCAUCUCUAGUCCUUAACUACCUUUGUGGUCUUUUUGUCUUUUUUUUUUUUUGUCUUUUCUAUGGCCCCACCCUCGGGAUACAGAGGUUUCCAGGCUAGGGGUCUAAUCUGAGCUGUAGCCACCGGCCUAUGCCACAGCCGCAUCUGCAACCUACGUUACAGCUCACGGCAAUGCUGGAUCUGUAACCCACUGAGUAAGGCCAGGGACUGAACCUGCAACCUCAUGGUUCCUAGUUGGAUUCAUUAACCACUGAGCCAUGAAGGAACUCCACUUUGUGGUCUUUUUUUUUUUUUUGCUCUUGUAGGGCCACAUCCACAGCAUAUGGAAGCUCCCAGGCUAGAGGUUGGAUAGGAGCUUAGCUGCUGGCCCACACCACAGCCAUAGCAACGCCAGAUCUGAGACCUCCACCACAUCUCAUAGCAACACCAGAUUCUUAGCCCACUGAGUGAGGCCAGGGAUUGAACCUGCGUCCUCAUGGAAAAUGGUCAGAUUCGUUACCACUGAGCCACAAUGGGAACUCCUAGUUUUGUGGUCUUAAGCAAGUAUGUCAAUCACAGUGUGGCUUUGUUUACUCAUCUAUGAAAUGGGGUGUCAACUUCUACCUGCAGACUUGAUGCACUGAAUGAAACUAAACUCUGGCUCUUCGGACUCCCUACCAGGUACUCUCCGGCUCCAUUCCAUUCAUGUGGACCCCACGAGGAAGGAAGGCCUUGUGAAGUUCUCUCACCUGACCCGUUUCUACAUGGUCAGUAUCACUAUUAAGCCUGCGACAAGACACACAAUUGUAAACACGCCUAAAUUUAAGCACAGAGGAGCAGGUAGAGAGAGUCGUAUCUCCCACUGAUCACUAUUAGCAUAAUCUAAAAUUAUAAUCUAAAACUGCUGUACUAUCAGGCAAAGUACUAUAUUCUAUCCAUCUUGAAAACUGUGCAAGUGGAAGUGGAAACCUGGAGACAUGGAAUAUAAAACCUUGCUGUACACGAACUAGAUUUAGGAUCUCGAACAAGUCAUGUUUUUCUCACCUUCAAUCUCUAAUUAUGGUAACAGUGGUGUUAUCUGCCUAAUACAACGCCUGGGACAGAACAGACGUUACUUAUGAAAAUAAAAGCCAAAAUUGACUCGCCCUUUCUAUUUACCACUGCAGGAUGCUUUACACGUGUUGUCUCAGCUCAUCUUCACGACAGUCAUAUGAGGUAACCAUGAUUGUUUCCUGAUCUAUAAAAUGGGGAUAAUGAAGCUCAGAAAGGUUGAAUGAUUUCCGCAAGUCACACAGGAGGUCAGGGUACUAAGAUUUAAACUUCUCUCCAAAAUCUGAGCUUUAAUCUAACCAUAAUAUACAUCUGUGACCUACCACAUAAAAUAAAAAGUGUACUUUCUAUGCAACAAGGAUUUGUGUGGGGGGAAAAAGUAUUUAUUUUAUUAAAAAGAACUCCACAAAUGGAAGGAGUUAUUAUUAUUAUUACAUAUAUGUUGGGAUAAAAAAUGAAAAGUGUUUGGUGAGUAAGGUAAAUUCCUAUAUUCCCUAAGCAGUGUUAGAUCUUCCUAAAUUAAGGAAAAGGAUUACUUCUGCUGGUUCCCUGACUGCUAAGAUAAAGAAAAUGCAAAAAUAAAGAAAGUGUAUUAUACUCUUUGCUUUUUUUGGCUUUCUAGGGCCGCAUUUGUGGCAUAUAGAAGUUCCAGGCUAGGGGUCGAAUUGGAGCUGUAGCUGCCGGCAUAUGCCACAGCAACACAACCAUGGCAACACAAGAUCCAGGCCGUGUCUACGACACAGCUCACGGCAAUGCCAGAUCCUAACCCACCGAGCGAGGCCAGGGAUCAAAUUCUCGUCCUCAUGGAUAUUAGUCAGGUUCAUUAAUGCUGAACCACGAUGAGAACUCUUUUUUUUUUUUUUUUUUUUGAAGAAAAUGUAUUAUACUUUCCCUGGUCCUUUAAACAUUUCAGGUAAUUUUUGUAUAAUGCUUAGGAAAUAACUAUAUGCCCUAGGUUCUAUAUGUUUUUUCAUAAAAUCCUCAAUGUUCAAUAUAAUUUUAUUAAAAAGUAAUUGAGUUUUUUAAAUGUGUUAUGCGUGGUGCUAUUUGUUCAUGACACUGAGCAACAAGAGGCACGUGCCUGCCCUGAUGGAGAAUCCAUGUUAUAGAUUAAAAAACCCUCACAGCAAAAGCUGCAAGAUAGUAUUAUCAUCAAUUUACACGUGAAUGUGAAGCUCGGAGAUUUUUUCAUAAUUAUAGACUAAAAAAUGUUGAUAUUAAUAUUCAAAACAUUAUUAUCAGAACUCUCUUUUUCACUCCACAACCCUGUCUAAUCAAGCUAUUGGUCUGGAUUAAAAGCAAGCGAGAGAAAUUGGGGAUUUGGUAGAGGGGGGAAAAAAGAGUAAAAUAAAGCAGAAAACCUUUUAUUGCAAGGCAUCCUGAGCUCAGAAAUACUGACCGCAUGACCGAUAGGUCAUUUCUAUUUGAUGUCAGAUGGAGGUGUUUAAAUUCUCAGUUUCCAGAUUGAUUGAAAAUCAGAUCAUAUCAUACUGUCUGUCAAAUCUCAACUUUCAGCUAUUAUUCUCAUCUUAACUUUUUUUUUAAACUUUCUCCCACAACAAAAGAGAGGUCUGUUCUCUUCCAAUUUCCAACAGCCCUUUUUGGAGAUCGUAAGCAACUGACAAAAGAAACAGACAUUUUUUAUAAUGUGCUUUCCUCCUAAAAACAUGUGCUCUGUGAAGCAGCUCAGGACAAAUCAUCAUACUAUCAUCUCUCAGAUAUUUAAUCAAAGCAUUCAAGGAACUAUUUUCAAUGCUUUCCUGACAUGAGAUGUUUUGGCCAGAUUAUACAAUUUCAGAAAACACUUAAAAAGUAUGGCCAGACGGUAAAAAAUAGUAAGCAUACUGACCACUUUUAUCUAGCUCAAGGAAAAGGACUCUAAGAAAAUCCUUCAUUUUCCACUUUAAAACCUAUCUGUUUUAUAUGGCACUUGCCUUAACUCCAGUUUUGUUUUGGUUUGUUUUGCUGGCAGCUUCCUGGGUCGGGGAUCGAACCGGAGCCACAGCAGUGACAAUGUCAGAUCCUUAAUCCCUAGGCCACCAGGGAACUCCUACGUAGUCUUUUUAUUGGUGAUAUCCACAACUUUUAUUUGACUCAUCUCAAAAUUUAAUAACUAUCUUAUUUUAACAUGUGAGCAUUGGGCGGGAAGGGUGGUUCUUCCCCACAUCAGAAGCUUUGUUUCAUAUACUGGGAGCUCUUCUAGUUUCUCUCUUCCCACCUCCAACUGGGUCCUUCCCUUGUGGAUAAGAGAACACAGCUGAUUUGAGAGUGUGGAAAGAUGACCUGGGUGUAUAGAACUCACCCGCUUGCUCUUUCCUUUCUUCCGUCUAAGCUCAAGCUCCCCACUAAAAUCACGUUUGUACUCGGCCCCUAUGGGACUGGGGUUUGUCCCAGAUCAGAGUUGUGAGGACUGGGUGACAAAAUUGUUUAAUUUUAAGUUUCACUAUUUGAAAGACAUUCUUCCUAGAGAUCCUAUAGCUAUAUUAUUUAAUAUCAGCUUGUAUUUUGUAGCAAAGACUCUACUUUGUCCCUUUAUCCAUAUUAUUCCUUCAUCUUAUAAUUCAGUUCAUACAAAACUGCAACGUGAAAAGGAUUUCCAUAUAUUAGACCACUCAGAAAACCUGAACAGAGAAAUCAGAGGAACAAUUACUCACAAACAGAAUAGGAGUAGUUCCCAUCGUGGUGCAGCAGAAAACUGACUAGGAACCAUGAGGUUGCGGGUGGGACCCCUGGCCUUGCUCUGUGGGUUAAGGAUCCCGUGUUGCUGUGAGCUGUGGUGUAGGUCACAGAUGUGGCUCGGAUCCUGCAUUGCUAUGGCUGUGGCGUAGGCUGGCGGCAACAGCUCAGAUUAGACCCCUAGCCUGGGAACCUCCAUAUGCUGCUGGCGUGGCCCUAAAAAGGACAAAAAAGACAAAAACAAAAAC